UACGUAGGGGCAAGCGUUGUCCGGAAUCAUUGGGCGUAAAGAGCGUGUAGGCGGUCCGUUAAGUCGGCUGUGAAAGUCCAAGGCUCAACCUUGGGAUGCCGGUCGAUACUGCCGGACUAGAGUUCGGAAGAGGCGAGUGGAAUUCCCGGUGUGAGCGGUGAAAUGCGCAGAUAUCGGGAGGAACACCUAUGGCGAAGGCAGCUCGCUGGGACGUUACUGACGCUGGAGACGCGAAAGCGUGGGGAGCGAACAGG
rnacentral:rRNA from 1 species